rnacentral:lncRNA from 1 species
GGUGCAGUCAGAUGGAGCUCCUGAUGUUCUUAUGGCAACUGCAGCCUCCAUUUCUGCAGGAAACACCAAACUUUUAGACCUCAGUCAUGAAGCUGAAGACUGCAUUCCACCUACUACCUUAACACGUACUUGAACCAAUAACUGGAAUGGAGAUUCCCUUGGACACCGGUGACACAGACUACGUUUCAUCAGAACUGUGGGAGUAAAAUCAGCACAUCUCAGCAUCUCUACCUGCAUUUCAAAGUAGGCAAAACCCUAAAGAUCAUCAGGAUGAGCAGUUCAGAAAGAAAAUCAAGGACAAUCACAUUUGGGGGAAGAUGCAAUUCUUCUUACAGAUUAACCACUGAAGUUUAUCCUCC